rnacentral:rRNA from 1 species
CGUGAGUAACCUGCCUUGGAGUGGGGAAUAACAGCUGGAAACAGCUGCUAAUACCGCAUAAUGCAGUUGGGUCGCAUGGCUCUGACUGCCAAAGAUUUAUCGCUCUGAGAUGGACUCGCGUCUGAUUAGCUAGUUGGUGGGGCAACGGCCCACCAAGGCGACGAUCAGUUGCCGGACUGAGAGGUUGGCCGGCCACAUUGGGACUGAGACACGGCCCAGACUCCUACGGAAGGCAGCAG